GGCAGGCCUAACACAUGCAAGUCGAGCGGUAGAGAGAAGCUUGCUUCUCUUGAGAGCGGCGGACGGGUGAGUAAUGCCUAGGAAUCUGCCUGGUAGUGGGGGAUAACGUUCGGAAACGGACGCUAAUACCGCAUACGUCCUACGGGAGAAAGCAGGGGACCUUCGGGCCUUGCGCUAUCAGAUGAGCCUAGGUCGGAUUAGCUAGUUGGUGAGGUAAUGGCUCACCAAGGCGACGAUCCGUAACUGGUCUGAGAGGAUGAUCAGUCACACUGGAACUGAGACACGGUCCAGACUCCUACGGGAGGCAGCAGUGGGGAAUAUUGGACAAUGGGCGAAAGCCUGAUCCAGCCAUGCCGCGUGUGUGAAGAAGGUCUUCGGAUUGUAAAGCACUUUAAGUUGGGAGGAAGGGCAGUUACCUAAUACGUGAUUGUUUUGACGUUACCGACAGAAUAAGCACCGGCUAACUCUGUGCCAGCAGCCGCGGUAAUACAGAGGGUGCAAGCGUUAAUCGGAAUUACUGGGCGUAAAGCGCGCGUAGGUGGUUUGUUAAGUUGGAUGUGAAAUCCCCGGGCUCAACCUGGGAACUGCAUUCAAAACUGACUGACUAGAGUAUGGUAGAGGGUGGUGGAAUUUCCUGUGUAGCGGUGAAAUGCGUAGAUAUAGGAAGGAACACCAGUGGCGAAGGCGACCACCUGGACUGAUACUGACACUGAGGUGCGAAAGCGUGGGGAGCAAACAGGAUUAGAUACCCUGGUAGUCCACGCCGUAAACGAUGUCAACUAGCCGUUGGGAGCCUUGAGCUCUUAGUGGCGCAGCUAACGCAUUAAGUUGACCGCCU
rnacentral:rRNA from 1 species